AAAGAGUAAUAAAGGCAAUAGUAAACGAAGGUUUCAGACUAAAAUUUUAAAAAUGUACAUUUGCAACAGGAUCAGUGAAAUAUCUCGGACACAUAAUAGAGCACAAUACAGUAAGACCAGUAAAAGAUAAUCUAAUCUCAAUACAAAAUUUUCCCACUCCAAAAACCCAAAAGAAUAUUUGACAGUUUCUCAAAAAAAUAAACUUCUAUCAUGAAUAUAUACCGAAAAGCUCAAUACUGCUAGACCCAUUACAUAAACUGUUAAGAAAAAAUGAAAAGUUUAUAUGGUCUGAAGAGUGUGAAAAACCUUUCACAAAUAUAAAAAAAUUAUUAUGUUCUCAACCAGUGUUGUAAAUAUCGG